rnacentral:rRNA from 1 species
CUUCCUUUUUCCACCGGUUUCGUUCGGAGCUCCGGUUCGUUUACCUUGAAUAAAUUAGAGUGUUCAAAGCGGGCAAGCACACGCCUAGAUACUUUAGCAUGGGAUAAUAGAAUAGGACUUGGGUUCUAUUUUCGUUGGUUUCUAGGACCGAAGUAAUGAUUGAUAGGGACGGUCGGGGGCAUUAGUAUUUAAUUGUCAGAGGUGAAAUUCUCGGAUUUAGGAAAGACUGACUUCAGCGAAAGCAUUUGCCAAGGACGUUUUCAUUAAUCAAGAACGAAAGUUAGGGGAUCGAAGACGAUCAGAUACCGUCGUAGUCUUAACCAUAAACGAUGCCGACCAGGGAUCGGGAGACGUUACCUCGAUGACUCUCCCGGCACCUUGCGGGAAACCACAAGUCUUUGGGUUCCGGGGGGAGUAUGGUCGCAAGGCUGAAACUUAAAGGAAUUGACGGAAGGGCACCACCAGGAGUGGAGCCUGCGGCUUAAUUUGACUCAACACGGGGAAACUUACCAGGUCCGGACAUAGGAAGGAUUGACAGACCGAUAGCUCUUUCUUGAUUCUAUGGGUGGUGGUGCAUGGCCGUUCUUAGUUGGUGGAGCGAUUUGUCUGGUUAAUUCCGUUAACGAACGAGACCUCGGCCUGCUAAAUAGCCAUGCGAACCUUUCCGCCCCAAAGAGGAUACGGUUCGGAGGGGGUCCCCCCGGGGGGAGGUUCAUCCCUUCCUUCGGGGUCCCUUCGGAUCGCCCUCUGGUGAGGUUCGUAGCGGCGCUUCUUAGAGGGACUAUGCAAUCCCAGUGCAUGGAAGUUCGAGGCAAUAACAGGUCUGUGAUGCCCUUUAGAUGUUCUGGGCCGCACGCGCGCUACACUGACGAGCUCAACGAGCGUCUCUUUUUCCUAGGCCGGAAGGUCCGGGUAAUCUUCGAAAGCUCGUCGUGCUGGGGAUAGAUCCUUGCAAUUAUGGAUCUUCAACGAGGAAUUCCUAGUAAGCGCGAGUCAUCAGCUCGCGUUGAUUACGUCCCUGCCCUUUGUACACACCGCCCGUCGCUCCUACCGAUUGAACGGUCCGGUGAAGUCUUCGGAGCGCGGCUCACGCUCGGUCGGGGCAACUCGGCCGGGUAGGGUCGCGCAAAGUCGACUAAACCUUAUCGUUUAGAGGAAGGAGAAGUCGUAACAAGGUAUCCGUAGGUGAACCUGCGGAUG